rnacentral:rRNA from 1 species
CCUACGGGAUGCUGCAGUGGGGAAUAUUGGGCAAUGGGCGCAAGCCUGACCCAGCAACGCCGCGUGAAGGAAGAAGGCUUUCGGGUUGUAAACUUCUUUUGUCAGGGACGAAGCAAGUGACGGUACCUGACGAAUAAGCCACGGCUAACUACGUGCCAGCAGCCGCGGUAAUACGUAGGUGGCAAGCGUUAUCCGGAUUUACUGGGUGUAAAGGUCGUGUAGGCGGGAGUGCAAGUCAGAUGUGAAAACUAUGGGCUCAACCCAUAGCCUGCAUUUGAAACUGUACUUCUUGAGUGCUGGAGAGGCAAUCGGAAUUCCGUGGGUAGCGGUGAAAUGCGUAGAUAUACGGAGGAACACCAGUGGCGAAGGCGGAUUGCUGGACAGUAACUGACGCUGAGGCGCGAAAGCGUGGGGAGCAAACAGGAUUAGAUACCCCAGUAGUC